AUUCUUGCUGAGCUUGAUAUGCAAGACAACCCUUCUAUAGGAAUUGAAAUGGAUUUUGCAUUGUUAUUACUCCCCUUUAUAAUUAAAGUACCAUCAAAGAAUAAAAGUUGUGCAUCAGCUGCUGAAGUUGCAGAACAUUUCAUUCAAUUUUAUCCGGCAUCAACUCCGAUGGAAA
rnacentral:lncRNA from 1 species